ACUCUCCUCGAGUUAGCCGAGCAGUGGCCUCCUCGACGCCGCAGCAGCCACUCGAUCGCAUAGGCAACGCUCAAGCCACUACCGGCUGAGUCUCCUUCUCUCCUCUCCUGGUCGCGGACACUGGAACUCGCUGGAAGAUCAAGCAUCCAGCUGAACCUUCUUCUUUUGGUCCUCUACGACGCUGUGCCCUAGUAUGGUUGUCGAUUCUCUCUGGUCGUGGUGAUCUUGAGUAAGUACUCUUCAUAGUUUGUUAUUUGGGGAUCUAAUCUCUAAGUGGUACUGAUCAGGAGUGAUUGUUGAGGAAACAGUGCUAUAGUUGGCUCCGGUCAACAUUAUCGUAGACAGAAGAUAGCUUCCUUCGUCAGAUCCUUGAUCACCACCGUUAAUUGGAGAGUAAUAUGCAGAUCUAGAUUUGGGUAGGUAAAAAGGAAUAGGGCAGCAGUAAACCUCUGUUGACAGCUGCGUAUUACCAUUAACCACCUUCGAAUUGGGGAUUCAGAUUCGGAACGAGCACAUCGACAUAGAGGUUGAUUAGCUCGAUCUACAUUGGAGGCGGAUACCUUGACCUAUCUAUUUUGAUACGUCUUGUUGAUAUGUUUAGUAUAUUUUAACAAGAAGUAAUAAUUAUGAUUA